AGGUGGCCGCAAGCAAACCCAUAUCUCCGACUUCGGGGGUCAAGCCACGCUGGGCAGGCGCAGGAGCGCAGAGGGGCGUGGAGGCGAGCUAGAUCUC
rnacentral:ribozyme from 1 species